rnacentral:rRNA from 1 species
AUACGUAGGGGGCGAGCGUUAUCCGGAUUCAUUGGGCGUAAAGCGCUCGUAGGCUGCCCGCUAGGUCCGGGGUCAAAUCCGGGGGCUCAACCCCCGCACGCCCCGGAUACCGGCGGGCUUGAGUCGGGUAGGGGAAGGCGGAAUUCCAGGUGUAGCGGUGGAAUGCGCAGAUAUCUGGAAGAACACCGGUGGCGAAGGCGGCCUUCUGGGCCUCGACUGACGCUGAGGAGCGAAAGCUGGGGGAGC